rnacentral:rRNA from 1 species
AUUGAACGCUGGCGGCAUGCCUUACACAUGCAAGUCGAACGGCAGCACGGGAGCAAUCCUGGUGGCGAGUGGCGAACGGGUGAGUAAUAUAUCGGAACGUGCCCAGUCGUGGGGAUAACGUAGCGAAAGCUACGCUAAUACCGCAUACGAUCUAUGGAUGAAAGCGGGGGAUCGCAAGACCUCGCGCGAUUGGAGCGGCCGAUAUCAGAUUAGGUAGUUGGUGAGGUAAAGGCUCACCAAGCCGACGAUCUGUAGCUGGUCUGAGAGGACGACCAGCCACACUGGGACUGAGACACGGCCCAGACUCCUACGGGAGGCAGCAGUGGGGAAUUUUGGGACAAUGGGCGCAAGCCUGAUCCAGCAAUGCCGCGUGCAGGAUGAAGGCC